rfam:Ovis aries breed Texel chromosome 8, whole genome shotgun sequence.
GUCUACGGCCACACCACCCUGAACAUGCCCAAUCUCAUCUGAUCUCGGAAGCUAAGCAGGGUUGGGCCUGGUUAGUACUUGCAUGGGAGAAAAAGAAGCAAACUCAGAUAUAUAGAAC